GAAUUCGGUUUGCCUCUGACCCGACACUGGAUGGAGCGAGUCGCCGCUCAGUGGCGCCCACAUGCUGAGUGCUCCGAUGAUCGGAGCCGUCCAUGAUUUGGACCAUCACUGUCUGAAAAGUCGAUUUUAAGCACGUGGACCCUAGUGGAUGUCGACACCCGCUGGUCUUGGAUUGCAAGGGAGGCAAAAGCAACUCAUUCCAAUGAGAAAGUGAGAGGUGGGAGAGAAGUCGCGCGCAUAUGAAUCCACAUAUAAACGAUGGGCGGGAAGCAAAAGCAACGCCUCCACCUUUGAUUGAGAGGCCUGGUCCGAUCUUCCCCAGCUCCUUUUUCCCAUCUGCAUCUCGUUCAGGGAGGGUGAUGUUUGCAGCACUUACUGUUGGGUGUAGGAAGUUGUCACAUCAGCUGUUUUGAAGUGCAAAUUCAAAUAUGGAAGUAAAACACCUCAAAAAUGUUGGAAAUCAUGUUGGCAAGGAUAGUGAGGCAGCCACGAAAGGUGGGGAUGACAAAUUGAGGAAGGAGUUCACAUUGGGGGAUAUUGUAUGGAUUAAGAUCUAUGACUCUUCAUGGUGGCCUGCACAGGUUGUAGACGAGAACACCAUAGGUGGGGGUGAAAAGAUCGAGAAGAAAAUGGAGGGUGGAGUUCUCACUCGACUCUAUGGAAGCUAUGAGUACUUGUAUGUGGACCCCAUGAAAUACCACUCUGAGUUUGAGAAUGUUCUUAAGCAAAAUAACUGUAGUGUCAAAGAGAUUCUAAAUAAAGCUUUGGAGCAGGAUCUUUCUCAAAUCAAAUCUGGUGCUAAAUCAAAGAGGAAAGCUUCUACACGUAAAGCUAUAGUUGAAGCUUCUAGAGAUAAAAUGCCUAAGCAAGAUAGGAUUGAGACAACUCAGGCAAUGGGUUCUUUAGGAAAACUGCAGGAUGGAGUAAAGAGUAAUCUCUUGGAGGCAAAGGCUAGAGAUGAAUCAUGCAAGGACAAAAUAUCAGUGCAAGAUGGAGUUAAGAAAAAGAAGAAAGCAGAUGGCCAAGACUCUGAUAUGCAUGCUGGUAGAAAGAGAAAGCAAAGAGAUCCCUCUGCAGAAAAUGGUGUUAGUGUUGCCUCGAAAGCAGGUCGCCCAGGCUCUGAUGUGCUUUUGUCGGUGAGAGUGAAGAAAAGAAAUCUCUCCAAGGAAAGCACUCCAGGUGAAGCCUUGAAGAAGCCAAAGGAACGUAGUGUUGGGAAAAACCACAAGACAAAUGGCCUGGAUCCUAUAUGUUCCCACUCAAAUAUUCCAUGUCCCUCAAUAAGCUAAUGUUCUGGACUGUUGUAGCAUAUGACAAAUGCAUGCUUGCGAGCGCCCAUCCGCAAACACCAAACACAAGCACCCUGCCAAUGUGGCACACAAGUGUGAAAUCUGGGCUGUCCACAAAUCAGGUCGCAGAUCCCAUGGGAAGGUUUCUGUUGCCCAAAAAUCAGGUUGGGAUGCUCAUCAACCGGGGCACAUGUAUGUUGAAAAUAUGUGGCCCACUUGAAGGGUGGUGGACAAGCCUGUAUGUUGGGUUGAACACCUUCGCUGCUGGACUUGAUGAAUGGCCCAACUCUCUCACACAAACACCAUGUUGGCACGGGUGUUGCGCUAUUGUUUGUCUGCUGGUAGUGUUCCUUUUAGACUUAUUCAAAUCUAACUUAAGACUUGCUAUUAGCUUAGAAAUUCCUUUGUAAUAUGGCAGGAUGGGGUACAGAGGUCCACCACGGAAGCUGCUGUGGUUGACGUCUUGAAAACCCCAAAACAAGGGGAUAGGAAAGACAAAAAAACAAUCAGCAGCCCAAUCUCUGCAACCAACUCAUUAAAGUGCUCACAAGAUAUGAGCGCAAGGCGAAU